CAAUCAAAUACUUAAAUGCAUUUUUCAACGGCUGUCACAAAAUGCGUUAGUCAGCAUUUAUGCAUAGAACACAUAAAAUGAGGAUUCAAUUUGGCACAUGGAUCGAAAGUGUAGAUGUCAUAUUUAAAGAUACGUACAUACAUGCAAGUAAAUAUGUAUGCAUGCAUUUAAUCAAAUAAAUUGUUAAAAUGCUUAAUUUAUCUUCUGUUGCAUUGUUUGUUCAUUGCGCGCCCAUUAUGAUUGACACGGCAGCUGCUUUGAAUUAUUUUUAUGCUCAUGAUCUCUGCUGUUGCUGCUGCUGUUGAUUAUAGUGAUGUACCAUUCGAACAAGUCAUUUAGUUAUUUCUUUUGUUUUUCAUAGAGCGGAUGGUGAUGCAUGCAGCAUGCCCAAGAACAGACGACAGACAGCCAAGUUAGCCACAGCCAAGUGGACUGUCUUGGCCAAUUUAUGUUCUGUUCUUGCGCCAGUUCCAGGUACCAUAACUUAAAGGGCGCCGACGACUGGCACCACUUUACCACUUUAUAUAUCUACAUAUAUGUAUGUAUGUACGUAUGUAUGUGUGGACGGCAUGUAGUUGUUACGAGCUGCCUACUUAAUGCAUUAUUGUUGACAAUCGCCGCAGGGCACGAUUGGCAGCUGUUUUCAUGCUUUACAUUGCCAUCAACCUGUCCCGUUACCAAUAUUGGCAGCUAGAUCUUAACUGUUGAGCCAUCUCUGUGAGGCUCGGAGUGUUCUACAAUUUUGAUAAUGAAUCAUCUAAAUAAAUGUGAACUUUGUACAAGUCUGAAGAGGCUUUUUAUCUUCUAAUUUCUAUAAUCUAUGACAGCUUAAUCUGUUUAGCUCAUCGAGAUUUUUCGAAUUACUUGAAUUUCUUCAAAUUAAUUUAGAAUUUGAAAUUAGUUGUUUCAAGUGCGUUUAUGUCAGUGCAGCUAGAAGAAAUUUGCAAAUAAAUUAUAUCAAAUUAGACAUAACACAAUAAUAAAUUUUCUAAAACGAACAAAAUCAAAAUAUACAUAAACAUUUAAACAUUUUUACGUAUAUAUAUAAAAAGAUAUAUCCGAAUCGAGCAGCUCUGAGAGAUGGCAAAAGACAGAGAGACGAAUAGCAGCGAGAGAUACGGAGGCAUCGAAAGAGAAAGAAAGAGAAAGAGUGAAAUAAACUGAGACUAUUUCGUUUUCGUUUUCGUUUUCACGAGACGGAAAAUUCUUCCUAGCAUUACUUUGACUCAUCAGAGUCAGCAGCUAUGUGGAAUGGAGGAGUGCGGGCCGAGAGGAGGGGAGAGGGCCCUUGGGCGUUUGGGGACGCUCUACAUUCAAUACGUCAUCAACAACAGCCACUCGAACUGGGGAGUCGUCGUCGCCUGUGGGGGACCCACAGCUGCGCGCAAUCGCAUCAGAGGCCACAACACGAAGCAGAGCGCAAGCAGCAGCUGCACAGUGAAAGCAAUUGGGGAAAAACUCUAUGAAACUAUAUGAACAAUGCACGAAAAGUAAAAUAGGCUUUCAAUAAUCAAUUAUGAAUGUAUGAAUAUACCAAAUGACUCUACAGCUGCUCAAUUACAAAUUUUCUGCAACUUCAA